rnacentral:rRNA from 1 species
GUGAGGAAUAUUGCGCAAUGGAGGCAACUCUGACGCAGCCAUGCCGCGUGCAGGAAGAAGGCGCUACGCGUUGUAAACUGCUUUUAACCGGGAAGAAACCCCAGGACGUGUCCUGGGUUGACGGUACCGGAGGAAUAAGCACCGGCUAACUUCGUGCCAGCAGCCGCGGUAAUACGAAGGGUGCAAGCGUUAUCCGGAUUCAUUGGGUUUAAAGGGUGCGUAGGCGGAGCGUUAAGUCAGUGGUGAAAUCCUGCAGCUUAACUGUAGACUUGCCAUUGAUACUGGCGCUCUUGAGUGCGCUUGAAGUGGGCGGAAUGUGCCGUGUAGCGGUGAAAUGCUUAGAUAUGGCACAGAACACCAAUUGCGAAGGCAGCUCACUAAGGCGAUACUGACGCUGAGGCACGAAAGCGUGGGGAUCGAACAGGAUUAGAUACCCCAGUAGGCC